rnacentral:rRNA from 1 species
CUGCCCUAUGAGGAUUUAAAUGGCCGCGGUAUUUUGACCGUGCAAAGGUAGCAUAAUCAUUAGUUUUUUAAUUGAAAGCUGGUAUGAAAGGUUGGAUGAGAAAAUUACUGUCUCUGUUUAAUUUAUUUAGAAUUUUAUUUUUAAGUAAGAAAGCUUAAAUUUAGAUAGAAGACGAGAAGACCCUAUAGAGUUUUAUAGAUUUUAAUUUAAGAAGUUUUUAGAAUUAAUAAAUUUUUAAAUUGAUGUGUAUUUAGUUGGGGUGAUUGAAAAAUUUAAAAAACUUUUUUUAUUCGGGUAACCAUUUAUUUAUGAUUAAAUGAUCCUUAUUUAAAGAUUAAAAGAAAAAAUUACCUUAGGGAUAACAGCGUAAUUUUUUUAAAGAGUUCAAAUCGAAAAAAAAGAUUGCGACCUCGAUGUUGGAUUAAAAUAAAAUUUUGGUGUAGGAGCUAAAGUAUUUGGGUCUGUUCGACCCUUAAAAUUUUACAUGAUCUGAGUUUAAACCGGCGU